AUCUUUUUAAUUGUUGAAUGCUCAGACUCUUGGGUUCUUAUGAUUUAUAUGCUUGAAAAAAAAACUGAUCUGAUGC
rfam:Populus trichocarpa scaffold_5_contig_246, whole genome shotgun sequence.